UGCGUAGGGGGCAAGCGUUGUCCGGAAUCAUUGGGCGUAAAGCGCGUGUAGGCGGCUCGAUAAGUCUGCUGUGAAAGUCCAAGGCUCAACCUUGGGAUGCCGGUGGAUACUGUCGAGCUCGAGUCCGGAAGAGGAGUGUGGAAUUCCUGGUGUAGCGGUGAAAUGCGCAGAUAUCAGGAGGAACACCAAUGGCGAAGGCAGCACUCUGGGACGUGACUGACGCUGAGACGCGAAAGCGUGGGGAGCAAACAGG
rnacentral:rRNA from 1 species